AACGAACGCUGGCGGCAGGCUUAACACAUGCAAGUCGAGCGCCCCGCAAGGGAGCGGCAGACGGGUGAGUAACGCGUGGGAAUCUACCUAUCACUACGGAACAACUCCGGGAAACUGGAGCUAAUACCGUAUACGUCCGAGAGGAGAAAGAUUUAUCGGUGAUAGAUGAGCCCGCGUUGGAUUAGCUAGUUGGUGGGGUAAUGGCCUACCAAGGCGACGAUCCAUAGCUGGUCUGAGAGGAUGAUCAGCCACACUGGGACUGAGACACGGCCCAGACUCCUACGGGAGGCAGCAGUGGGGAAUAUUGGACAAUGGGCGAAAGCCUGAUCCAGCCAUGCCGCGUGAGUGAUGAAGGCCUUAGGGUUGUAAAGCUCUUUCACCGGUGAAGAUAAUGACGGUAACCGGAGAAGAAGCCCCGGCUAACUUCGUGCCAGCAGCCGCGGU
rnacentral:rRNA from 1 species